rnacentral:rRNA from 1 species
UACAGAGGUCCCGAGCGUUUGUUCGGAUUCAUUGGGCGUAAAGGGUGCGUAGGCGGCGGGGCAAGUCUGAUGUGAAAUCCUGGGGCUCAACCCUGGAACUGCAUUGGAUACUGCCUUGCUAGAGUACUGGAGAGGAAACUGGAAUUUACGGUGUAGCAGUGAAAUGCGUAGAUAUCGUAAGGAAGACCAGUGGCGAAGGCGAGUCUCUGGACAGCAACGUGACGCUGAGGCACGGAAGGCCCAGGGGAGCAAAACGGG